GGAGUUAGGAAAUGUAAGUUCGCUAAUACCGGAUUUACUUGACAAAGGCUCCAGAGGAAGCCACGGCUAACUCUGUGCCAGCAGCCGCGGUAAUACAGAGGUGGCAAGCGUUGUUCGGAAUUAUUGGGCGUAAAGAGCACGUAGGUGGAUUUGUAAGUCAGAUGUGAAAGCCUUUUGUUCAACGGAAGAAUUGCAUCUGAAACUGCAAACCUUGAGUGUAGGAGGGGAGAGUGGAACUUCUGGU
rnacentral:rRNA from 1 species